GAUGAACGCUGGCGGCGUGCCUAAUACAUGCAAGUCGAGCGAAUGGAUUAAGAGCUUGCUCUUAUGAAGUUAGCGGCGGACGGGUGAGUAACACGUGGGUAACCUGCCCAUAAGACUGGGAUAACUCCGGGAGACCGGGGCUAAUACCGGAUAACAUUUUGAACCGCAUGGUUCGAAAUUGAAAGGCGGCUUCGGCUGUCACUUAUGGAUGGACCCGCGUCGCAUUAGCUAGUUGGUGAGGUAACGGCUCACCAAGGCAACGAUGCGUAGCCGACCUGAGGGGGUGAUCGGCCACACUGGGACUGCGACACGGCCCAGACUCCUACGGGAGGCAGCAGUAGGGAAUCUUCCGCAAUGGACGAAAGUCUGACGGAGCAACGCCGCGUGAGUGAUGAAGGCUUUCGGGUCGUAAAACUCUGUUGUUAGGGAAGAACAAGUGCUAGUUGAAUAAGCUGGCACCUUGACGGUACCUAACCAGAAAGCCACGGCUAACUACGUGCCAGCCGCCGCGGUAA
rnacentral:rRNA from 1 species